CAGAACGGCAGAGUUAACAGAGGCACAGGACAGAGCACCAGCAGGACAGACAACUGACAGGGAGAUGCUAGCCCUGGCUCUCCCCCGUACUGGGGGCCACGUGCUCCAAAAACACACCUGGAGGAGCCUCUUACCUAAGGGCUGCAGCACCUUAGGCACCACUAAGGCCCAGCACAAGCUCUCCCUGUCUGUGGCAGGGCCUGGGGACACUCGGGGCACCUUGGCUGGGGUCACAUUUUUGGCAUUGUGGGCUGUCAAGCUGAUCUUUUGCUUUGCAGAAGGAACACAGCCAGAAUUUCCCUGCAAGCCUACCCUGCUCAACAAUGUCCUUUACCGAAAUACCAGAGCUGUCUGCUCAGAUGAGGCUGAGGGAAAAGAGUUGAGACCCGCGCCCUGAUCUGCAACAAAACCUCCAUAGUUCUGGUUGGGAUCCGAUCACGUCUACUUUGGAGGUUUUUCAGGGUUCUAAUUAUUGUGAUGACAUUUCCCUGAGACCUCUCUAAUUCCACAGUAUUCUGGAGACUGCCUAUGUGCUGUAUUAAAAUGUGAUCAUCACCUUGGGGCUGCUCCCCAUCCUGUCCCUUAGCUCUGAUCCCAUCUGCCUCCCAAAGGAGCGCUGUGCAAGGUGCACUGCUCCGCAGCUGGCAAAACACACGGCUGUCCCAGAGCUCCUUCACCCGGAUCAAACUGCACAGCUUGGAGCCACAGGGCCUUAGCUCAUCCCCCUGACCUGGACAAACGCCUGCCUCAUUGUGUGAAGACACCAAGGUGCCUCCUGUCCAGGCCCGGCCUGCGUCAAAAGGCCAGACCACACGUCUGAUAAUGGAGUCAGCUGCUGCAGCCUGCAGUCCUGCUUCUCCAAACAGGGCUUGGGGCUGAAGAGGAGGAACCCGUUGCAAGUAGGGCAAACCACUGCGUCCUGGGCUGCAGCAGGAGGAUUUGUCUGGCCCGGAUGAGGCUUAGGGGCAUUUACGAGCAGCCUGCAACUACCUGGAAGGAGGCUAAACAGACCCAGCUCUCUCAGCCUUUCCUCAUAUGAGAGAUGCUCCAGUCCCCUCGUCAUCCUCGCAGCCCUCUGCUGGACUCUCUCCGGUAGUUCCCUGUCCUUGAACUGGAGAGCCCAGAACUGGACACAAUAUUCCAGAUGUGGCCUCACCAGGGCAGUGUGAGAAACACAAGCACAGAUCUUACCGUGAACUCAACACUGUGUCCCGAGAGGUAGGUGAGGAGAUAGGGGGUCACUGGCAGACAAGCCUCAGCCACAGCAGGGUCACUGGAGUGGGAGAGCUCAUGGAGACAGCGGGCUGCCUCCAUCUGCAAGUCAGCCAGGUUGCUGGUGAAGAGCCCGAUGAGUGUCCGGACGCUGCCGUCCAGUCUGGUGGAAACCAGAGGGUGCUGUCACCUCCUGCCUUCCCACCCUCGGCCACACACCAGCCCACCCACACAACGGCUGGGACAAAGGGCCGCUCUGGACGUGCCCUCGAUAACAGCCAUGCAGUGCCAAACUUGGGCUGACCUGACAAACUUCUGCUGAGUCUCCUUGUUCUGCAGAGCCCAGUGGAGGUGGCUGAGCGAUCUCUUCCUGUCCUCUGAACCCCUCUGCACGCCUCUGAGCAGCUCAAGAACCUAUAUGAAAAUUAAAAGAUGGGUGAAUUUCAAGCAGACUCGGAGUUAAGAUUUCAUCCCGUUAAUCCUGAAGGCAAAGAAACCCAGGGCGCAAAGACGGUCACAGAGAACCUUGCUGUUUCUCACCAUAUCUGGCAGUGACUCAGAAAACACUCACAAACCCACCUCCGCUCAGGCUCCCCCGCACGCUGGGGACCCCCCCGUCACCAUGGAGAACGUCAUGCUUUUCGUCAUGCUUUUCACCUCAUCCUCCGAGAGAGGGUCCAGCACGAUCUCUGCUCCAUCCUGUCCACCCUCCUCCACUGCGGUGUCCUCCCGCAGAAGCCGCUUGCUGACCAGCUGCUCCUGCCGCCGGGCUUUCCUGAGAGCUGUGAUCGAAUUGGGCCUGUCACCACCUGCCUAGGUCAAGACGCUUUUCCAUCCCACCAAAGAGCCUUACUCCUUUUAACAGGGAGAAGCUGCCGGUUCCUCCUUGUGUGAGACAGGGAGGGACGCGCAAGGCAGCGACUGCGUUUAGACCUUGCACGCUGCGGGGUCGGGCACUCAUCAAUGUGUGAAGCCACAGCUGGGCAAACCGGCAUCAAAGCAGGACAGAGGCGUGAGGACCAGAGCGGCCGCCCCGGCAGGGACCCAAGGCUGGUUUUACAUAGGCAGGACCUUGGAAAACCCAAACUGCAGGGAGGUGGUGGAGGAAAUGGGGCAUCCAGGGCAGAAACCCCACGUGGAUUAAUAAAAAUAGGCUGUAAAA